rnacentral:rRNA from 1 species
AUGGUAACCCGCCUCAUGUUUGUUAUUGAUCCAAUGUACAGCAAGAGAAGCCAACCACUGACCACUCAGCAGAGAGACGAGAUUAUAGCUUGGAAGUUACAUGAUGCCUUGCUCAUUUGCUUAAAUGAGUAUUAUGCUGGCUGGCCCGUGAGGAAAGAUGGUUGGAAAGUCACCUUCCCCGCACUUGCUGAUAGCAUUUUCUCUCGUAAUGAAACUGGAGCUUGUGUCAUCCAUAUUGCCCUCCAUUUCGAUGGGAAAAAGCUGAAGAUGCCCCUCACCAAGCACACAAUAUCGAAGGUGAAGUGGGAAACGCUGUACGAGUGCAUGAAGUUGCAGGGAAAUUUCUCACCCCAUGCACGUGAUGCUCUGUGGCGCCUUCUUGCACCAUCGGACAAUAUAUCUGAGGAAGAUUGA